CCUACGGGGUGCAGCAGUGAGGAAUAUUGGUCAAUGGACGAGAGUCUGAACCAGCCAAGUAGCGUGAAGGAUGACUGCCCUAUGGGUUGUAAACUUCUUUUAUAUGGGAAUAAAAUGUUCCACGUGUGGGAUUUUGUAUGUACCAUAUGAAUAAGGAUCGGCUAACUCCGUGCCAGCAGCCGCGGUAAUACGGAGGAUCCGAGCGUUAUCCGGAUUUAUUGGGUUUAAAGGGAGCGUAGGUGGAUUGUUAAGUCAGUUGUGAAAGUUUGCGGCUCAACCGUAAAAUUGCAGUUGAAACUGGCAGUCUUGAGUACAGUAGAGGUGGGCGGAAUUCGUGGUGUAGCGGUGAAAUGCUUAGAUAUUACGAAGAACUCCGAUUGCGAAGGCAGUUCACUGGACUGCAACUGACACUGAGGCUCGAAAGUGUGGGUAUCAAACAGGAUUAGAUACCCGGGUAGUC
rnacentral:rRNA from 1 species